GACGAACGCUGGCGGCGUGCUUAACACAUGCAAGUCGAACGGAAAGGCCCUGCUUUUGUGGGGUGCUCGGGUGGCGAACGGGUGAGUAACACGUGAGUAACCUGCCCUUGACUUUGGGGUAACUUCAGGAAACUGGGGCUAAUACCGGAUAGGAGCUCCUCCUGCAUGGAGGGGGUUGGAAAUUUUCGGCGGUCGGGGAUGGACGCGCGGCUUAUCAGCUUGUUGGUGGGGUAGUGGCUUACCAAGGCUUUGACGGGUAGCCGGCAUGAGAGGGUGACCGGCCACAUUGGGACUGAGAUACGGCCCAGACUGCUACGUGAGGCAGCAGUGGGGAAUAUUGCACAAUGGGCGGAAGCCUGAUGCAGAAACGCCGCGUGCGGGAUGACGGCCUUCGGGUUGUAAACCGCUUUAGCCUGUGACGAAGCGUGAGUGACGGUAAUGGGUAAAGAAGCACCGGCUAACUACGUG
rnacentral:rRNA from 1 species